GGGGAGGUGGUCCGUAAGUUCUUCGCGAUAGUCUUGGAUCAGAUCUUUGUUCGCCUGUGUCAGCGGUUCGUCAGAGUGCAUGAUCUCGAUAGCCCGUUCAAGGUUGGGGCUGAGCCGUUUCGGCUGAAGAAACAACAGGCGGUCAAUUGGUGGUGAAAUUCAGCCGAGGAGUGCGAAGGUUGAAAUUGUACCUAAUUGACGGAGGAAGAAGAAGCCAUCCGGGUGCCUGGUUGGGGGUCUGAAAGCAUUUUGCAGAGGGGGGAAGUUAUGGAUGUUGUGCGAAUGCCUCUGGAAAAGACGUGGAGAUCCCAAAUUUAUAGGAGGAAGAGGCGAGGAGUAACAGUUAGUUGAAGGAGUCAUUCAAAGCAAAUGACCGUUGGGUUAAAAGGCUGCAAAGAAAAGCUGUUCAAAUUC
rnacentral:lncRNA from 1 species